CAGCCCCUAGCGCAGACGGCGAAGAACUGGGAUAGAGCUCGCCUUGGCUCUGCUGGCCUUGGCUGCAGCUCUCCCAGGGAAGCGGGGCACCCACACGAGAAUCCCAUACCUGGCUCUCUCUUCAGGGAUGACAUCAUCGGCUCACCCCAGUCUUCAAGGACCGCCUUCUUUGGAAGCCAAGCUGUCACUCAAGUACCUGUGGCGAUACCUGAUGAACAUCUCUAUCUCCUGAGGCAAGGAGCAUGGAUUCCUGGAACCCACCAGCACAACAGAGCAGUCCCCUACGGACCCCCAAGACCAGGACAUCGAGGGACAAGGGACAAAGAGGAUCAGCAGUAUUCAUCUAGCCUCCCUCUGGGUUCAAGCCUUGAACCAACGCCCUAGUGAGGGGGCAUUGGUCAUGACCUCAGACCUCUGUUCUGCUUGUGCCUUGAAUCUGAGCCCGUCCCUGUGUGUCUCUGCUUGUGUUCAUCUGUCAGUGAAGUGGAGUGCUUCCCUCCCCAAGGGGGGUCGUCCCUUGUGACUGACCAUGUUGUCCUAACAAUGUCCUGAGCAGAAGGAUCCCUUUGGGAACCUCUCAGGAGGGGGGACCUGGGCCAGGGGCCACCAACAUCGUGCUGGCAACUCCGUGGGUGGGGGUGGGGUGCUUCUUGAAUGAGCAUGUGGCUGACCCCCAAAGGCAUGCCCCCCCUCCACCCACCUUCUUGGAGAUGUCCCUUCAUUUGGGGGUAACGGGGACAUUAGGAGCAACCUCCUAGGGUUGUUGUGAGAAUUAAAUGAUGCAGAAGAGCCUGAGGCAGGGCUGGGCAGGCCCCUCAGCAGUGUUUGUUGAAAGGUGUGCAGGUGGCUGUCCUCCCACUCGCGAGCUCGGCUCACUCGUCUCAUCUAUCCUCCCGCAGCCCCUGUAGCCCUGUGCACAGGGCUCUCCUUGCACCAGCCCGGCUUCUCGAGGCCUGUCUACACUCGCUGCUUUCCUUCCUCACCUCCAAUUUCCCCUCCAACCCACUGCUUCCUGAUCCGCUCUUCUCCAUCGAACGGCUCUCGCGCAGGUAAAGACUUUUCUGUAGCUUGACCCUUGGCACGACUCCAGCCUGGCUGGACACAAGGACACAUGCAUCGCCAUUCCUCCUGUUCCAUGGCUUCAUGGCUCUGGUUCCCUUCUACUUCCACAUUACUGGCUUCAUGGACACUAUUCUCGCUUUUCCCUGGGAACUCGCAUUCCCAGCCCUCUCAGUUUCCCAGACCUGCCUCAUACCACCCAGCUGGCAGUGCUGCCUAGAGCACUCUGGGGUUGGCUGAUCGGGGCUCGGGUCUAAGGUCAACCACUUAAUACUGGGACCACAGUGUAAGACAGCUCUUCCAAGCUGCAUUGGCUAAAAUAGGGUUAAUGGUCUUCACCAGGAAGGCCAGGUGUGCUCCACCAGGUAAGCCUCAGAUGCCUUAACUGAGGGACCGGAGGUGAAAUCAAUUAGAUAUUCCUGAGCAAAUGCAAUUUAAGUCACAAUUAAGUUUUCUUGAAGUGAAGUUCCCACAGAGAAGACCAAAGAGGAGAGGGGAGAAGGGGGGGCAUUAAAGACAGCAAAGGCAAGGGGGAGGGGAUUUGGAAAAAUGUUAAGACCUACCCAAACCUCAUCUAGAAAAAGCAUUCCCUCCUAGGUUAGCCUGGGCUUAGAAGAAAAAACCAGAAGGAAGCUUUUAAGUUGAUUACCCAGUGACAAACCCCAGGAAACUUCCCUAUCACAUUGCCCCAUUCAAGGGUUUUGAGUUCCUCUGAGGUUUAACCUCUGCACCUCCUGCCUCUACCCGUUGCCUCCCUGGACUCGUGAUUAAGUCCUCAAGGUACAAGAAGGGUCUCAGGGAAUGGCUGGUCCACAUUGUAGAGCCGCCACUAUCCCCGACUGUUUUUUUUUUCCUUUAAGGUUUACUCUACCUUUUGCCCUUUCUCUUUAAUGAACAUGGGGCUAAUCUUGGGCCUUGUAGAAGGGAAAGGCUGCAGAGUAAUGAGGUAGCUACCGGGCUCCAAUAUUGAUACCCUAAGGAGCCCUCUUGGGGUGCAAAGGAAAAACACACACUUCCCAUAAUGAGCUGAGCUGGUGGUUGUGGGAUAGGGGGCCUUGGGUUCUUAAGCCAUACUUGGUGUGUAGGCUUCCCUCCUCUUUGGAAUCUCAGCCCCGGUCCCACGGCGAGACCCACUGAAUGAGGCUGCAAGUUGAAGGUAGCUGUCUGUCAGCGAAGGAGCUACUCAAAGGCCUCACCAUGCUCAUCCCUUCCUACCCAGCCUCCUGCCAAGUUUCCAACUCCCGCCCCAGCAAUUUUCAGACCUGUUUCAGGCCCCAUGGAGGGGACUCCUUUCCUCCUUCCCUCAGUGGGUACACUGACUAAAGGUUAUGUAGCAUUGCGGGUCCAAAUUAGGUUGCCACCUUGUACAGUGAGGAGUUGAAGCGAAGGGACUAGGGUGACAACUGAGGCCUCUGCAAGAGCCACACACAAGCCCCCUCUUCACAUUAUGGAGACAUUUGGCACUGUUUCCACUGUCUCCAGGGUCCCCCGUCUCAAAUAUCUAUCCAUUAGUAAGAUAAUAGGUCCCUGAAGUCAUUUUUGAUAUUCUAGGAGUCUAGGAGUAUCUCAGAAACUAGGGAAUAUGCUAGGGUCUUUGCCCAGUGUCUGACAGUCCUAGGUCAUCGAAGUUUUGUGUAGGGAACCUCCAAACUUAACAGCCUCAAGCAACUCAAACAUGACCACCCCUUAAUGCCCUGGAAGGAAGGCUGCCUGUAAGGGAGGAUUCGAGCUAGUCACCUGUUUAGGCAUAGUGAGCUCUUUACCCCCACUCUACUGGGGACACUCAAGGAAGCUCCCCUCCCCUGCUUCCACUUCAGGCAUCCAGACUGGCUUCAGAGUUGGCCCAGAGACCUAGAGUGUUCUCGGGGCUUAACAUCUAUGGAAUCGGUCAGGAUAUAGUAGGAAGCCAGGGGCAUGAGGCCAAGGAAGGGAGGGAGGCGGCAGGAAAAGCCUUGGCCCCCAAUUCUUCUGAGAACUACUGUUUUUUUCUGCCUUUCCUGCCCAUCCCCCUCCUCCAUUCUCUGUCUCAGCACCCCUCUGUUGUCUCCCUCCCUCUCCCGUUUGGAUCUGGCCCUUUUGGGGUGCCCCUAGGCCACCCCCUCCUCCUCUGGGUGUCCCAGCACCAACCCGGUAAAUAGUGGGGCUCAGUAAGAGUAUGUGGGAUGUAUGGCGGGACAGGUGGACGAAUGGACGGGCUCAACUCUCACAUCAGGGCAGCUAGGGUGCGGAGGGUGGAGGGCGGGGGGCAUAGGGGCUCGAGGGACUUGGGAUCAGCCGCUACCUGCCCUAGUCUCUGCCCCCUUUGAAGGGGUCCUAUUCCCUAACUGCCCUAGCCUUGGCCCCCCUUGAAGGGGUCCUAUUGUUGAGCACCUGCAUUCAUCCACGCGUUCACUCUGUCAUCCAACAGUUGAUCCUAACUGAGCGUGCCCAUGGUCCUGGCCCUGGGCUUGGCACCUGCCACCUAGCUUGUCCCUUGAUGGCCUCUGCUUCCCAGGGAGGGCAAGCUGGGGGGUUGUCUGGGAGCCAGAGCUGUGGUCUCUGGCUCCAUAGAGGGCAUUCAGAGGGCAUGGGGUGGGCCUGGUUUGCUUGCCCUGCUUUCAUGCAGACCUGCCCACCCCCAGGGCUUGGCCCCCCUCUCUGCCUCCCUCCCCAUUCAUGGCUGAGUAUGGUCUAUUGGCCCCCGCAGCUUAGGGCUGAGGCAAACGCACAAGGAACAGCUGUGAUGUCCCACCGGUCCUGGCCACACAGGUCUCCCUCUAGAGGUUGAUGGGGGUCUGAGGCUAUUGGGCCCUUUCCACAGUUUGUUCCUCCCCCUGGGACUCAGUCCAGCCUUUCUGUCCCCAACUCUCGAUCGGUGGGGACUGUGUCCCAAUGCCAGGAGCCUUCAGAGAGCAUGUGUAGGCCCCGCCUCUGCCUGGCUGCCCACCUGCUCUUUACCUGCUGGCUCGCCCCUGCUUCUACAGCGCCUGGGUUCAUCACCCACUUGGCAUUGUGCUUGCAUAGCCUUUCCCCAUGAUGUUUCCCUAACACCAACCUGUGCCUCAGUCCCUGGGCUCAUCCUACUCCACCCUCUCCCUCGGGUCUUAGCCACUCGUACCUCUGCUUUGUACAGGCUGGCUUCCUCUUGCUAAGCCCACAUUCGUGGCUAACCCGGUCCACCUGCUGCCCUUAGCCUUGCCACCAGGUCCCCAAUCCCAUUGUGCCCCCCAACUCAGUGUUACCUCAGUUGCCAGCAGCCUCCUGGUGCCUGUUGGACAAUCCCUGCCUGGUUCUUCAUCUCCGGUGGGACUGAUUUCCAGGGUCUGAGUGAUCAGGGGCUUAAACCAGGUUUAAUGACUCGGUCCGCUGGCCCUGGAGACCCAUCAUCGUCGUCGUCGUUCCCUGGCCUGUCGCGUCUUCCUGUGCCAUUUCCUGUUGUGCUCAGGUUCUACGAGCCGCACAUCUCCACAGAAGAGCAGGUGAGGCCGCUGCGUGUCUUCAUGCGUCUGGCCUUGCCCACCAGCCACGAUGACUGAAGAGCAAAGGACGGAGGACCCUGGGACGCCCCGUGCGAGGACCCAAGGACGACGCCCAGCGCGGGGACCUCAGGAUGCCCAAUGCGAGGACCCGAAGACGCCCAGCGCAAGGACCCCACGAUGCCCAGCGCGAGGACCCCACGACACUCAGCAGGAGGACCCAUGCCUUCACGACAUGCCACCCUUCUGGAUUAGGCCAAAGUCAUCACCCAGAAUCCUGCGUGGGACCCUGGACACACGGACAUGGACUCAUGCCCCCAGGACCCUCCAACUGUAAAUCGAUGGAAGCGCCCUUGUGAGUUGGGGCCUUCAAAGGGCUGAGGAGAAAAUGCAGACCGAGGGACCAGCUUCUCAAAUAGGCUUCAAGCCUCCAUGACCCGAGCUCACCCCCUGGAAAUGUCUGGAAAACAUAAUGGGCAGGUUUUCUGUCUUCAAAGUUUCCAUCUCAACCUCUUCAAGUUCUUUAUUGUUUGGGGCUGAGACACUUGGGGAUGGUAAUGGGGACUUUCUUUUGUAUCCGUCUUGAAAGGCCAAAAUAUUUUUAUAUUGCUGUAGACAAAGCCACCUAUUUACAAAUGAACUCUGUUCUGUCGUUUCCCACCGGGAAGACUGUACCAUGUUUGUGUCUCUAUGUAUUCUGGGGUCUUGAAACAGGUUUCUCAUGGGGAUGGCCAUUCACUGGGGCCCAGAGGGGCAGAAGGGGAAGUGUCUACCCUGCCAAGGGGAUUUGGGGAAGGGGGGCCCUAGUCUCGAAUCUGCUUCUUGUAUGUCUAGGGGUGAGCCCUGGGAGAAUCUGGUGCUAAAAGAACAUAUGCUGUGUUUGCUCCACAUCUGCCAUUUGUGUUUGUUUCUGGGCUACGGGUUUGCAUACUCCGGUGGUUAACUUGGUGGGAGGAAGUAGGAAGGGCCAAGAGGGAAUGAAUGCUCCGGCUUUUGUGUCUGGAGGCUGUCUCUCUGGUGCGUGUUACAUCACAUAACACACACAUAACACACAUCCAUCAUUAGAUGGAUGAAGAAUCAAGCAUGAAGGGAUAGAGAAACAAAUAGGUAUAGAAAUCAAGUGAACAAGUCAGGAUGGGCGCACACAGCUGCCGUUCUGUCUCUUUGGUCCUAGGCAAUCAAUAUAUGAAUUAAUAAAGUGCCAAGUCGAUAUGUAUAUAGGACCCCAUACAAACAGGUAUCGGAUCAGCAUGGACCUAAGACGUUUUUAAUUAAAGAAGGAAUCUUAAAUAAAAGCAGGACGGAGACGUGGAACUAUCUAAACCAACACUGAGGUUCCAAGGCCCCUUAAUAUGAACAGUGGGAUGAUGUUGGGAUCCAAGCGAGAAAGAGGCAGGAAAGAAAGAAAACAAACAGAAAUGGAUAAACAGCGACAGCAAAGUAAGGGGAUGCGGGACUAUGCAUGGGGGACCCAGCUGGGUUAGUAUCAGGGUGCUGCUUAGUUAAUCCGGGCACCCUGGCCUCACGGGGAUGAAUGACAGCAAGGGAGGAAGCCAGGACACAUAGAAAGUGGUAACAAGACAGAGAGGUAGUAUAGGAAGAAAAAGAAAAAGAAGAAACAAUCCAUUAGGCAGACAGAUGAGUAGCUUCUUGGGAGAGAUAAGCUAGGAUUCAAAAUCUGAACACUUAAUUCUACUAGCAGAGACUUAAAUACUGAAAGGGAAGAAAGCAGGAAGGUAGGGUGGUAGAUGUGAAUGCAUGAACGAGAGGAGGAGGCAGGGAGCUGUGCGAGUCACAGAAGGACGUUUUUCGGUGGCUCUUGUCCACCGGCUUAUGUAGCUGAGAAAGACAAUGUGGAGCGGGGCAAGGAAAGAAAUGUAAAUUCUAUCUCAAGAAGAAAAGGUAACAAUGUGCCCCCAGAUAGGUAGAUGAAUACAGAUAGAAGACAGAGGCCUGCUCGGGAUAGGACGAAAGGCUGGGCCAGCAGACUGGUUAAUUCCCAUCUGUGUUUUUGCAAUGGACAAUGACCCACCCAGCCAAGAGACCUUUCAGGCAUCAAUAUGUCAGGGAGGGCUUCAAUGAGGCUGUGGAGGGGAGGCCCGUUAAUAGCAGAUUAUGAUGUAUCCAAUUAGGUGCACCUGCCCUCUGGAAGUGUAGAGACCAGUAUUGAAAUAGAAAGAAAGACCGAAUGGAUGGCUGAGUGCACGAAUGAAUGAAUGAGAAAAAAGAUUGGCAUUCACUCUAAGGGGGAGGGUGCUGCAGAGCCCAAGGGUCAUCUGAUCUCCCAGAGGAUAAAAGGGAGAAAGAGGGGAGAAAGUAACAAUAAGAUGGGGAGAAAUGAAAAGACGCACAGAAGAUGAUAAGUGGAACAAUUAUGUCCAGGAGCGAGGGCUUGUUUAACACAAGUCAUCCAUAUUAAUUCAAAAUUGAGGCCCUGGGCUGGGGUGCAGCUCAGGGAUGGAGCCGUUGCCUAGCGUGUGCCAAGCUCUGGGUUCCGUCUCAGCCCGAAAAAACAAACACAAAGAACAAAAUUAUGGCCCCCGAAAUUGUAAAUGACAACGAUGAUGGUGAUAAUGAUGACGGAGGUGGAACAAAGAGAGAGAUAAAUUAGAAGAUGGAGAAAAAAAAAGAUGUUGAAAAAAAUUUAGAUGGACGAACACAUAGGAGAAAAAGCAGUUGUUAGCUAAGUAUUUAAAUAUGAUGAAUACAUAUUAUCUGUCGAGUGUGUUAAAUAAUAGGAGUGGAGACUUACCCAUAAAAAAAAUAACAAAUAUUGAAAAGAAACAAUUUGAGGAGUGGCCAUGAAAAACCGAGUGAGAAAUGAUGCUGCACUCAAACCGUGUAAUAGCUAAGACUGUGCAAAGGAAUAUAGAAAAGGGGCAGGACAGAUAGACACAAUGAAAAGGUUGAGGGCAUAAAUGAAUAUACAUGGAGACAUGUGCCUGAGAGGGCUACACAGGGUGGAGAGGGAGAGAGAGGCAGCAAGAAUUAUGAUUAAUUCAAAACUGGGCUCUUGAGAUAACUAAAUGUCCCCCGAACCAAAGCGUCAGCACAAGGAAUUAAAGAACAAAAGAGCUGCAGGCAGACCCAUGUGGAGAAGGCUUGGGACCCUCAGAUCAGGCUUAAUCUAAAUCUGUGCACCUGAGGUCCAUAAAUAAAAGAAUAAAUAUUGAAAUAAAAGAGUGACAGAAAGAAUGAAUGGGUACACGAAUGACUGAAUUAGAAAUGGAAAUGGCUAGAGCAGCCAGGAAGGAGUGGCCCAGGGGAGUUUUGCUCAUCUUAUUCUGGGCACCUGAGGUCCCUUAGUAAAAAGAUGCAAAGGAGAAGGGGAGAAGGGAAAAGGGGGCCAUGAGAGAAAAUGAAAGAGGAGGAAAUGAGAAACGGGUAAGAGAGGAAGCAAUAUGGGGUGCCUCAUAAGAGAAAGAUCUGUGAGGAUUAGUGAUGAGGGUCUCAUUAAUCCUAAAGAUCGAUGAGGUAAUCCAGACCCAGGUUCUUACGGGGAGAGAGAAUGGAGAGAAUUUUUAAAAAAAAAGACGCAAAAAGGAGAGAAAGAUAAUAAAACAAGCAGCAUGAUAAAUGGGUAAUUAAGAGAGGCUGUCGGAAUAGAAACAGUAAUGAGUUCCCAUGCAUAGUCCUUAAACAGAUAAAUACAUUAUACCUUUCAAAGGAGGUGUAAAAAAUCGAAGACCACUAUGGCCCCCAAACCAGGAAGCACCUUCUGUUGUAAUAAAAUACAUGCAGUGGAGGGCCAUAAAUAACAGUAAACACUUAAUGUAAAAGGUGACCAGACACAGGGAAGAAGAUUGCAAGCACAGAUACAUGAGGGAAGCAAUGUUUGUUCUGCACGUGGGAUUUUGAAUAAUACAAUUAUGUUCACAGGAAAUUAAUAGGUGGAAAAAAAUCUCAAACUAAGAUACAAGAAGGACAAGGAAAGGAAGAGAGACAUGGGAGACAGGGCGGAGACUCGGGACGGGCUUGGCAGGCCUUGCUCCGUCCUGCACACCCAGGCUGAUAAAGCGAGACCAUCAGGAACAGUAAAAGACAGCAGAAAGCGGGGGGGGGGGGGGGAUAGGAAAGGAAUGAAAACAACUUGGAAAAGAAGGAAGAGGGAUUUGCAAAGAGAGGGCUUCAGAGAUCUAACGAUUAUGGUUCAUUUAAAGCCGUGCCAUUGGUGUCCCCAAAGGAAUCAAAUCUUAACGAAGGUUUUUGUGAAUGAGAAGAAGAGGACAAAAAUAUAGAAGAAAAAAAAGGAGAGUCGAAAGGCAAGGAGAGGGAGGAGGUAGCACGUGCUGGGCACUGAUUGAGAUUGGUAAUGGAUGGCUAUUGGCCAACCACCCACCACUUCCACACAGCCUAACUGACUGGGAGCAGCUCACUGAGGAAGGCCUUGGACCACCAUUGCCAUUUCCUGGUUGUGUGGGCCAUUUCAUUGUCUGUCAUUUCCUCAGUCUGAAGAUACAUUCUUGCACAGUUCCCUAUCCAUAGACAUGGAUAGGUGAGACGGGUUUAGCUCCGGGCCCUGCAGGUGGUUGAAUGUUAAACUCAGUGGGUAUCUUGACCCCUCCCUGGGCAAGGAUCUCUUGUGAACCUUCUAUGAGGGGGCUUUGCCAACCAAGGGACAGGAGGAGGGCAGGGGACAGGAGGCCUUGCCUGUUGCAUACCAUCUUGCGUGUGAGUCACAUCCGGGGUCUGGUGCAGGGUGGUAAGGGGGACCUGGAAGGCCUGAGCUCCAAGAAGCACUAGGGUGCUUGUUCUCGCAGCUCUCUGAGAUGUACCCAGGGGGCGCUAGUCCAUCUCAGCUCAGGGUUCUUGGCAGGUGCUUCAUCUUGGGCUUUCAGACAUGAUCUUGGGUCCCAGCUCCUAGACAUGCCACCCCUGGAGCCCGUUUCAAGGCCUGUCUUCAGGAUGUUGAAAGAUAUGUUCUGUAACCAGCAAAAAGUGCCUUUGUUGUACUGUUUUGAAACUGUCUUCUCGCUUGCCCCCGUGGGCUGCGUGGGGGAGACUUGGAGAGUUGUUUGUCUGGUGCCCCUGGGACUCUCUGCUUCUGUUCAUUUUUCUUUCUCUGCUAUGGACCAGAUUUGCACAGUUGUGUGUUGUAUGCUUGUGUCUUUCAAUUAAAAUGGAGUCAUAGCCCC